rnacentral:rRNA from 1 species
AUGCAAGUCGUACGAGGGUUUUUAACUUUAGUGGCGGACGGGUGAGUAAUAUGUGAGAAUUUGCCUUUAGGAGGGGGAUAACAAUCGGAAACGAAUGCUAAUACCCCAUAUGCUUUUGAGUGAAAUGGAUUUAUCCGCCUAAAGAGAAGCUCGCGGCUGAUUAGCUUGUUGGUAAGGUAAGAGCUUACCAAGGCGACGAUCAGUAUCUGGUUUGAGAGGACGAUCAGACACACUGGAACUGAGACACGGUCCAGACUCCUACGGGAGGCAGCAGUGGGGAAUUUUCCGCAAUGGGCGAAAGCCUGACGGAGCAAUACCGCGUGAGGGAAGACUGCCUAUGGGUUGUAAACCUCUUUUUUCAGGGAGGAAUAAAUUGACGUGUACCUGAAGAAUAAGCAUCGGCUAACUCCGUGCCAGCAGCCGCGGUAAGACGGAGGAUGCAAGUGUUAUCCGGAAUCACUGGGCGUAAAGCGUCUGUAGGUGGUUUAAUAAGUCAACUGUUAAAUCUUGAGGCUCAACUUCAAAAUCGCGGUCGAAACUAUUAGACUAGAGUAUAGUAGAGGUAAAGGGAAUUUCCAGUGGAGCGGUGAAAUGCGUAGAUAUUGGAAAGAACACCAAUGGCGAAAGCACUUUACUGGGCUAUUACUAACACUCAGAGACGAAAGCUAGGGUAGCAAAUGGGAUUAGAUACCCCAGUAGUCCUAGCCGUAAACUAUGGAUACUAGAUGUUGAACAGAUCGACCUGUGCAGUAUCAAAG